CCAAUAGCGUAUAUUAAAGUUGUUGCAGUUAAAAAGCUCGUAGUUGAAUUUCGGGAUUGACACAUCGGUCGUGCCUUAAGGGGUGUGAACUGGUGUAGUCAAUUUCUCACCUUCUGGAGAACCGCGAUGUCCUUAAUUGGGUGCCGCGAGGAACCAGGACCUUUACUUUGAAAAAAUUAGAGUGUUUAAAGCAGGCAUUUUUGCUUGAAUACAUUAGCAUGGAAUAAUAAAAUAGGACGGCAUGAUUCUAUUUUGUUGGUUUCUAGGAUCACCGUAAUGAUUAAUAGGGAUAGUUGGGGGCAUUAGUAUUCAAUUGUCAGAGGUGAAAUUCUUGGAUUUAUUGAAGACUAACUACUGCGAAAGCAUUUGCCAAGGAUGUUUUCAUUAAUCAAGAACGAAAGUUAGGGGAUCGAAGACGAUCAGAUACCGUCGUAGUCUUAACCAUAAACUAUGCCGACUAGGAAUCAGACGAUGUUAAUUUUUUAACGACUCGUUUGGCACCUUACG
rnacentral:rRNA from 1 species